UACGAAGGGGGCUAGCGUUGUUCGGAAUUACUGGGCGUAAAGCGUGCGCAGGCGGCCUUCCAAGUCAGGGGUGAAAGCCCAGAGCUCAACUCUGGAAUUGCCUUUGAGACUGUGAGGCUUGAGUACGGGAGAGGUAAGUGGAAUUCCGAGUGUAGAGGUGAAAUUCGUAGAUAUUCGGAAGAACACCAGUGGCGAAGGCGACUUACUGGACACAUAUUGACGCUGAGGUGCGAAAGCGUGGGGAGCAAACAGG
rnacentral:rRNA from 1 species